rnacentral:rRNA from 1 species
CCUACGGGAGGCAGCAGUGGGGAAUUUUGGACAAUGGGCGAAAGCCUGAUCCAGCAAUGCCGCGUGAGUGAAGAAGGCCUUCGGGUUGUAAAGCUCUUUUGUCAGGGAAGAAACGGUGGGUUCUAAUACAGCCUGCUAAUGACGGUACCUGAAGAAUAAGCACCGGCUAACUACGUGCCAGCAGCCGCGGUAAUACGUAGGGUGCAAGCGUUAAUCGGAAUUACUGGGCGUAAAGCGUGCGCAGGCGGUUUUGAAGUCUGUCGUGAAAUCCCCGGGCUCAACCUGGGAAUGGCGAUGGAGACUGCAAGGCUAGAGUUUGGCAGAGGGGGGUAGAAUUCCGACGUGUAGCAGUGAAAUGCGUAGAUAUGUGGAGGAACACCGAUGGCGAAGGCAGCCCCCUGGGUCAAGACUGACGCUC